GCUCAGGAUGAACGCUAGCUACAGGCUUAACACAUGCAAGUCGAGGGGCAGCAUGGUCUUAGCUUGCUAAGGCCGAUGGCGACCGGCGCACGGGUGAGUAACACGUAUCCAACCUGCCGUCUACUCUUGGACAGCCUUCUGAAAGGAAGAUUAAUACAAGAUGGCAUCAUGAGUCCACAUGUUCACAUGAUUAAAGGUAUUCCGGUAGACGAUGGGGAUGCGUUCCAUUAGAUAGUAGGCGGGGUAACGGCCCACCUAGUCUUCGAUGGAUAGGGGUUCUGAGAGGAAGGUCCCCCACAUUGGAACUGAGACACGGUCCAAACUCCUACGGGAGGCAGCAGUGAGGAAUAUUGGUCAAUGGGCGAGAGCCUGAACCAGCCAA
rnacentral:rRNA from 1 species